AAGUCAUCAUGGCCCUUACGAGUAGGGCUACACACGUGCUACAAUGGUGCAUACAGAGGGCGACGAAGCCGCGAGGUGGAGUGAAUCUCAGAAAGUGCAUCUAAGUCCGGAUUGGAGUCUGCAACUCGACUCCAUGAAGUCGGAAUCGCUAGUAAUCGCGAAUCAGAAUGUCGCGGUGAAUACGUUCCCGGGCCUUGUACACACCGCCCGUCACACCAUGGGAGUGGGUUGUACCAGAAGUAGAUAGCUUAACUGAAAGGGGGCGUUUACCACGGUAUGAUUCAUGACUGGGGUGAAGUCGUAACAAGGUAACCGUAGGGGAACCUGCGGUUGGAUCACCUCCUUA
rnacentral:rRNA from 1 species